rnacentral:rRNA from 1 species
AGAGUUUGAUCCUGGCUCAGAACGAACGCUGGCGGCAGGCCUCAAACAUGCAAGUCUAGGGGGCGUAGCAAUACGUCACCGGCGGACGGGUGCGUAACACGUGGGAAUAUACCUUUCGGUACGGAACAACUGAGGGAAACUUCAGCUAAUACCGUAUACGUCCUAACGGAGAAAGAUUUAUCGCCGAAGGAUUAGCCCGCGUUCGAUUAGCUAGUUGGUGAGGUAAUGGCUCACCAAGGCAACGAUCGAUAGCUGUUCUGAGAGGAAGAUCAGCCACACUGGGACUGAGACACGGCCCAGACUCCUACGGGAGGCAGCAGUUGGGAAUCUUGGACAAUGGGGGAAACCCUGAUCCAGCCAUGCCGCGUGAGUGAUGAAGGCCUUCGGGUUGUAAAGCUCUUUUACCCGGGAAGAUAAUGACUGUACCGGGAGAAUAAGCUCCGGCUAACUUCGUGCCAGCAGCCGCGGUAAUACGAAGGGGGCUAGCGUUGUUCGGAAUUACUGGGCGUAAAGCGCGCGCAGGCGGUUUCUCAAGUCAGUGGUGAAAGCCCGGAGCUCAACUCCGGAACUGCCAUUGAAACUGUGAGACUUGAGGACGAGAGAGGUGAGUGGAAUUCCCAGUGUAGAGGUGAAAUUCGUAGAUAUUGGGAAGAACACCGGUGGCGAAGGCGGCUCACUGGCUCGUUUCUGACGCUCAGGCGCGACAGCGUGGGGAUCAAACAGGAUUAGAUACCCUAGUAGUCC